CAGGGGGGGCGAGCGUUGUUCGGAAUUACUGGGCGUAAAGGGUUUGUAGGUGGCUUGCUAAGUCAGACGUGAAAUCCCUCAGCUUAACUGGGGAACUGCGUCUGAGACUGGCGAGCUUGAGUGCAGGAGAGGAACGCGGAAUUCCAGGUGUAGCGGUGAAAUGCGUAGAUAUCUGGAGGAACACCGGUGGCGAAGGCGGCGUUCUGGACUGCAACUGACACUGUAAAACGAAAGCCAGGGGAGCAAACGGGAUUAGAUACCCCGGUAGUCCUGGCCCUAAACGAUGAAUGCUUGGUGUGGCGGGUAUCGAUCCCUGCCGUGCCGCAGUUAACGCGUUAAGCAUUCCGCCUGGGGAGUACGGUCGCAAGGCUG
rnacentral:rRNA from 1 species